UCUCUACCUAGAGAAUAAAGGCCCAACAUCCUUGAUCUUUUCACACGAGGCGGCGCAGGGAAAAUCAUUUUAAGUGAUCCCCUUUGCCAACGGUCGGGGUUGAAGAUUGGAUUGAAGAUUGAAGAAAGGCAGUGCUGCCGGGCAUGAAGCAGUCAGAGGCCGCCGAUUUACGGCCAAACGGGAGGCGAAGGGAGGCGAUAGGAGCCAACAGGAGCCUUCCAGGGGGGGCCCCUCGCCGAAACCCGCCACCCCGCUGUUUUUUUGCGAUGCCAACCAUUGCCGCUGCGUGACACCCAUUUCCCAGCACCCACCCGCACUUCCCCAAAUCAAAGGCUCUGAUGCUGAAACUGUGGAUUUUGUACUCACCACCAGAUGGGAUAGCCUCCAAGCACCCGCGAGCUGGACAGCCACACACACAUCAAAUAUCCAAUCUGAUACAAAUCCAUGAGGAUGCCUCAUCCACAGGCCCA